rnacentral:rRNA from 1 species
GAUCCUGGCUCAGGACGAACGCUGGCGGCGUGCUUAACACAUGCAAGUCGAACGGAGCACCCUUGACGGAGUUUUCGGACAACUGAUAGGAAUGCUUAGUGGCGGACUGGUGAGUAACGCGUGAGGAACCUGCCUUUCAGAGGGGGACAACAGUUGGAAACGACUGCUAAUACCGCAUGAUGCAUGACUGGGGCAUCCCGGACAUGCCAAAGAUUUUAUCGCUGAAAGAUGG